AACGAACGCUGGCGGCGUGCCUAACACAUGCAAGUCGUGCGAGAAAGUUCCUUCGGGAGCGAGUAAAGCGGCGCACGGGUGAGUAACACGUAGGUAACCUGCCCCCCAGUCUGGAACAACUAGAGGAAACUCUAGCUAAUGCCGGAUGAGACCACGAUCCCUUCGGGGGUUGCGGCCAAAGAUGGCCUCUACUUGUAAGCUAUCGCUGAGGGAUGGGCCUGCGGGCCAUUAGCUUGUUGGUGAGGUAACGGCUCACCAAGGCUGUGAUGGCUAGCUGGUCUGAGAGGAUGACCAGCCACACUGGGACUGAGACACGGCCCAGACUCCUACGGAGGCAGCAGUAGGGAAUAUUGGUCAAUGGGGGGCAACCCUGAACCAGCCAUGCCGCGUGCAGGAAUAAGGCCCUAUGGGUCGUAAACUGCUUUUGAACGGGAGAAAUCUAUUUACGUGUAAAUAGUUGACGGUACCGUUAGAAUAAGGAUCGGCUAACUUCGUGCCAGCAGCCGCGGUAA
rnacentral:rRNA from 1 species